CCCGCUGAGACUCAAGACAUGCUGGGCCGUCUUUUACAUUACUGUAUUGAGGAAGAGAGCGACGUGUGUGUGCGUGACCGGGCUUUGCUGUACUACAGACUUCUUCAGCGUGGAGUUGAAGAGACGAGGAAAGUUGUAACCGGACCCAAAUCCGAUCCGUCCAUGAGUGUUCUCACCGGACGGCAAGAAGAGCCCAUUAGUCAGUGGGCCUCUACCUUCAACACACUCGGCCUGCUGUCUGGACGCGAUUUAUGCCUUCAGACUGCUGUUAUAUCAGCCGCUGACCAACCAUCCAACAGUACAGAAAAGGAGCUGUUGCCAGUCAUUCAAGACU